rnacentral:rRNA from 1 species
UACGAAGGGAGCUAGCGUUGUUCGGAAUUACUGGGCGUAAAGGGCGCGUAGGCGGUUUUAUAAGUCAGAUGUGAAAGCCCCGGGCUUAACCUGGGAACUGCAUUUGAGACUGUAAGAUUUGAGAUCGAGAGAGGAAAGUGGAAUUACGAGUGUAGAGGUGAAAUUCGUAGAUAUUCGUAAGAACACCAGUGGCGAAGGCGACUUUCUGGCUCGACACUGACGCUAAGGCGCGAAAGCGUGGGGAGCAAACAGG